UACGUAGGGUGCAAGCGUUAAUCGGAAUUACUGGGCGUAAAGCGUGCGCAGGCGGUUCUAUAAGACAGAUGUGAAAUCCCCGGGCUCAACCUGGGAACUGCAUUUGUGACUGUAGAGCUGGAGUUCGGCAGAGGGGGAUGGAAUUCCGCGUGUAGCAGUGAAAUGCGUAGAUAUGCGGAGGAACACCGAUGGCGAAGGCAAUCCCCUGGGCCUGCACUGACGCUCAUGCACGAAAGCGUGGGGAGCAAACAGG
rnacentral:rRNA from 1 species